CGCUCGUAGUCGAACCUCGGCGCGCGGGUGCCUCGCGGCUACCGGCGCGCCUUUUCUUGGCGCUAAAUAGGGCCAAGACGUUUACUUUGAAUAAAACAGAGUGUUCAACGCAGACAUAUUGUUUGGAUACAUUAGCAUGGAAUAAUCGAAUAGGACUCCCGUUCUAUUUGUUGGUUUGAGGACCGGAGUAAUGAUUAAGAGGGACAGUUGGGGGCACUAGUAUUUGGAAGCCAGAGGUGAAGUUCACGGACUUUCCAAGGACUCACUACUGCGAAAGCAUCUGCCAGGGAUGUUUUCAUUGAUCAAGAACGAAAGUUAGGGGAUCAAAGACGAUCAGAUACCGUCGUAGUCCUAACCGUAAACGAUGCCGACCAGGGAUCGGUGGAACAUUUAUGUAAUCCAUCGGCACCUUGCGAGAAAUCAGAGUUUUUGGGUUCUGGGGAGAGUAUGGUCGCAAGAGUGAAACUUAAAGGAAUUGACGGAAGGGCACCACCAGGAGUGGAGCCUGCGGCUUAAUUUGACUCAACACGGGAAAACUUACCAGGUCCAGACGUAGCGAGGAUUGACAGACUAAGCGCUCUUUCAUGAUUCUGCGGGUUGUGGUGCAUGGCCGUUCUUAGUCGGUGGAUUGAUCUGUCUUAUUCUUAAUUGAGGCAACGGACGAGACCUUUUUCUGCUA
rnacentral:rRNA from 1 species